CAGCCGCCGCGGUAAUACGGAGGGGGCUAGCGUUGUUCGGAAUUACUGGGCGUAAAGCGUGUGUAGGUGGUUGUUUAAGUCUGUCGUGAAAGCCCUGGGCUCAACCUGGGAAUUGCGAUGGAUACUGGGCGACUAGAGUGCGGUAGAGGAUAGUGGAAUUUCCGGUGUAGCAGUGAAAUGCGUAGAGAUCGGAAGGAACAUCUGUGGCGAAGGCGACUAUCUGGGCCAACACUGACACUGAGGCACGAAAGCGUGGGGAGCAAACAGGAUUAGAUACCCCCGUAGUCCCUGUCUCUUAUAC
rnacentral:rRNA from 1 species